UGCAAAUGCAUAGUGCUGCCUAUGGAA
rnacentral:piRNA from 1 species